ensembl:lncRNA
ACAGAAUCUACUGAGGGCAGAGUCUGGAGGGCAGGGAGCUCCUGUCUCCUCAGGUCCUGGUGGGCACGGAGGGAACCGUACAUACACGGGGAUGGCCGUCCCGAAGGCUCUACCCCGGAGUCGUCCAGACCACUGGGGUCACGGGACGUCCCGGUGUCCUCGGCUCUCCGUCUGGAAAGGGGUUUCGGAGGCGCCCAGUGUUGUGGUGCGGGUUGGACAGCCAGCGACUCACGCACUAGCCCCACGCUGAGCCCGGGAUCCGGGGCCGCGGCUUCUGAGCCCAGAUCGACCGCCCGAGUGGGGACUGGAGACCCUGGCCCCGCUCCGCCCCCUCGGACCCCACUUCUCCCAGGACCCAGCCCGGAGCCCCGCGGAAGCACCACACCCGCGUGAAGAGGCUGGAACGCCCCCCGGAGAGGCUCCAGGAGGAGAUCCUGCUUAGCCCUUGGCAAAGUCCCUGCUGAUAUUUUUUACUCAAAACUAAACUUUAUUCUUAAUCUAAUUGCGAAAGUAAUCCAAGCUCACUGCAGAAACUGCAGACCUUACAGGAAAGCACAAGGCAAAGGAAAACUAGAAAUCCUGCGACCCCGGCAUCCUGGUUCUGCAGGUGGUGACACACUAGGGCAGCCUCACUCCUAUUCUUUGAGGACACACACAUUCUACCUCUGAAGUGUCUGAACAGCUGGCAACAUCAGAGUCAUCGCAUUCUUCAGUGAGCAUGUCAUACUCACCAUGG